ensembl:snoRNA
UGGAGAAGCCAGUGAUGGUUUGAGCUAGAAUGUCUGAACCUGUCUGAAGCAUCUCAGUGAUGCAUAUUCUCUGUGACUCUGAGGCUUCUUGCUCU